rnacentral:rRNA from 1 species
AUUGAACGCUGGCGGCAGGCCUAACACAUGCAAGUCGAACGAGUGGCGGACGGGUGAGUAAUGUCUGGGAAACUGCCCGAUGGCGGGGGAUAACUACUGGAAACGGUAGCUAAUACCGCAUACCAUCGGAUGUGCCCAGAUGGGGUUAGCUAGUUGGUGGGGUAACGGCUCACCUAGGCGACGAUCCCUAGCUGGUCUGAGAGGAUGACCAGCAAACCUGGAACGGGAACACGGUCCAGACUCCUACGGGAGGCAGCAGUGGGGAAUAUUGCACAAGGGGCGAAAGCCUGAUGCAGCCAGGCCGCGUGUAUGAAGAGGGCCUUCGGGUUGUAAAGUACGUUCAGCGAGGAGGCGUUACUCGCAGAAGAAGCCACGGCUAACUCCGUGCCAGCAGCCGCGGUAAUUC